UACGGGGGGAGCUAGCGUUGUUCGGAUUUACUGGGCGUAAAGGGCGCGUAGGCGGCGUAACAAGUCACUUGUGAAAUCUCCGGGCUUAACCCGGAGCGGCCAAGUGAUACUGUUGUGCUAGAGUGCGGAAGGGGCUACUGGAAUUCUCGGUGUAGCGGUGAAAUGCGUAGAUAUCGAGAGGAACACCUGCGGCGAAGGCGGGUAGCUGGGCCGACACUGACGCUGAGGCGCGAAAGCCAGGGGAGCGAACGGG
rnacentral:rRNA from 1 species